rnacentral:rRNA from 1 species
CCUACGGGUAGCAGCAGUGGGGAAUAUUGGGCAAUGGGCGCAAGCCUGACCCAGCAACGCCGCGUGAAGGAAGAAGGCUUUCGGGUUGUAAACUUCUUUUGUCAGGGACGAAGCAAGUGACGGUACCUGACGAAUAAGCCACGGCUAACUACGUGCCAGCAGCCGCGGUAAUACGUAGGUGGCAAGCGUUAUCCGGAUUGAGUGGGUGUAAAGGGCGUGUAGGCGGGAAUGCAAGUCAGAUGUGAAAACUAUGGGCUCAACCCAUAGCCUGCAUUUGAAACUGUAGUUCUUGAGUGCUGGAGAGGCAAUCGGAAUUCCGUGUGUAGCGGUGAAAUGCGUAGAUAUACGGAGGAACACCAGUGGCGAAGGCGGAUUGCUGGACAGUAACUGACGCUGAGGCGCGAAAGCGUGGGGAGCAAACAGGAUUAGAUACCCUUGUAGUC